AAGUCUGCGAGUUACUUUACUAAACUUGAGCUUGAAUUGUAGUUCGGUUGUUUGCUGCCGGGUUUCUCCUUUGCAGAAAGCGCAGGUGACAAGCUUGGUUAAGAAGGGGGCAAACAGAAUAACUCUCAGCAUUGGUGAUGGAGCUAAUGAUGUAAGUAUGAUUCAAGCUGCUCAUGUUGGUGUUGGGAUAAGUGGACAGGAGGGAAUGCAAGCAGUGAUGGCUAGUGAUUUUGCAAUAGCUCAGUUCCGAUUUCUCGCUGAUUUACUGCUUGUCCAUGGACGCUGGUCAUAUCUGAGAAUAUGCAAGGUUGUCACAUAUUUUUAUUACAAGAAUCUUACAUUUACCCUGACUCAGUUUUGG
rnacentral:misc_RNA from 1 species